rnacentral:misc_RNA from 1 species
UUCUCAAUCUCCUACCCUUUGUGGUGGGCUGGUUGGAUCGUGGGUGCUUGCCGGCUUCGGUCUGGCUCACCUGAAAUUCUUCUGUGACCCCGUGCCCUUGGUGGUUGGCCCGACUAGGCGUGAUAGUGAUAACGUUCGUCUAGGAUCCCGCUUCGGCGAGGAGCCGCCCCUGUUGUGGACUUUGGUCGCAUACUCACACAUCUUUGG